UAACCACUCAAGCCUAGCUUGGUAUUGGGGUUCGCCGUCCCGCGGCCCUUAAAAUCAGUGGCGGUGCUGCCUAGCUCUAAGCGUAGUAAUUUUCUCGCUACAGGGUCCGGGUGGUUACUUGCCAAAACCCUCCACUUCUCAC
rnacentral:misc_RNA from 1 species